rnacentral:rRNA from 1 species
UGGGGAAUCUUGCACAAUGGGGGCAACCCUGAUGCAGCGACGCCGCGUGAGCGAUGAAGCCCUUCGGGGUGUAAAGCUCUUUCGGCAGGGAAGAUGAUGACGGUACCUGCAGAAGCAGCUGCGGCUAACUACGUGCCAGCAGCCGCGGUAAUACGUAGGCAGCAAGCGUUGUUCGGAGUUACUGGGCGUAAAGGGUGUGUAGGCGGUUCCCUAAGUUUGGUGUGAAAUCUCCCGGCUCAACUGGGAGGGUGCGCCGAAAACUGGGGGGCUAGAGUACUGGAUGGGAGAGUGGAAUUCCUGGUGUAGCGGUGAAAUGCGUAGAUAUCAGGAGGAACACCUGUGGUGUAGACGGCUCUCUGGACAGUAACUGACGCUGAGACACGAAAGCGUGGGUAGCAAACAGGAUUAGAUACCCUGGUAGUCCACGCCCUAAACGAUGCAUAUUUGGUGUGGGUCAUUCAUUUGAUCCGUGCCGGAGCUAACG